GUGAGGAAUAUUGCGCAAUGGAGGCAACUCUGACGCAGCCAUGCCGCGUGCAGGAAGAAGGCGCUACGCGUUGUAAACUGCUUUUAACCGGGAAGAAACCCCAGGACGUGUCCUGGGUUGACGGUACCGGAGGAAUAAGCACCGGCUAACUUCGUGCCAGCAGCCGCGGUAAUACGAAGGGUGCAAGCGUUAUCUGGAUUCAUUGGGUUUAAAGGGUGCGUAGGCGGAGCGUUAAGUCAGUGGUGAAAUCCUGCAGCUUAACUGUAGACUUGCCAUUGAUACUGGCGCUCUUGAGUGCGCUUGAAGUGGGCGGAAUGUGCCGUGUAGCGGUGAAAUGCUUAGAUAUGGCACAGAACACCAAUUGCGAAGGCAGCUCACUAAGGCGAUACUGACGCUGAGGCACGAAAGCGUGGGGAUCGAACAGGAUUAGAAACCCUGGUAGUCC
rnacentral:rRNA from 1 species